CUAAUUUAGAUAUCAUAAAAGGUGUUGUAUUUAUAUAGACAGCAGGACGGUGGUCAGUGGAAGUCGAUAUCCGCUAAGAAGUGUAGUAACAACAUACCUGCCAAAUGAAUUGGCCCUGAAAAUCGAUGACGCUCAAGCUUAAUACUUAAACUUAACCGUUAUUGCGAAUUAAUUAGCUUUAACGAGUAGGAGAACGUGAAUGUAAUUAAAAAGUUUAAUGAAGUGAUUCUAAAUGAAAUUGCAUUUAGUGCAGAUCUUGGUGGUAGUAGCAAAUAUUCAAGUAAAAUUCUUGAAAACCGAUGAAGAGAUAGGUUUCAUGAGAACAGCAAUUGAUCAUGAGUUAGUCGAUCCUAAAGUAAAGAUUAAUUUCGAAAAAGAGAAUUUCUGUAUUAAAAACACUAUAAAAAGAAAUACCUUUAUACUGAAAGGGAAUAAGUUUAAUAUUACUUAACUAAAAACUGGAUAAUUAAUUAAGGUAACUUAAAUGAAAUCUGAAACGUUAGAGAGUAUCCCGGG
rnacentral:rRNA from 1 species